UUCGACUCAUCCAGUGGCCUUAGUUGU
rnacentral:piRNA from 1 species